rnacentral:lncRNA from 1 species
GGCUGGCUGGCUGGCUGGCUGGCUGGCUGGCUGACUGACCUGCUGAGCAAAUCCUUACACCCACAAGGAAAUGAAAACGGACCCAGAAAGUGAUAAAAGCAGACUGCGUUCCGACAGACACUCCAGGGACCACACAGCUAAAGUUGCAUGAAUGUGCUCAGUGACUCAUGGCACCUUAUCACUGAGACCUUUGGAAACUUUUGGAGAAUUAAACCUCUCACAAGUCAAGGGAGGGGGCUUUGGGAGAACCCAGCCCCAGGCUUUCGGUGCACAGGAUCAGUCAGGCGUAUGAACUCAGUAUGUGAGAGGCCAUGGACUGUCAGAGCAGUCACAAGUCUCAAGCAGGGCAGCCUGCGCUGAAUCCAGCCCCAGAUACUCCGCUGCUUUGCCUGUGCUGGGCUCCAUCCACCGUGAUUUGGGUUCAUUGCCAGGAAUCAAAAUAGAGCAUGCCCACUAGCCUGCUGCAGCCUGGGACUCAGCCAAAGCUGGAGCCCCAAGCAGGAAGCACCCAGGAGGCUGGUUCCCUAGCAGUGCCCGGCAUGUGGCUAGCGCAGAGGAUCAUGGGAAACCAUUGCCGGAUGUGGUCUUGGGGAGGAAAAUAGAAGCUGAGUGAUUGCAGCUCUAGCAAAAGGACUCCUGGGAUGCGCAGAACCACGAGGGAGCUCUGAAUGCACCGGAGGCGAGAAGAGAUGCAAUGGCUGAUGUGGCUUCUGGUGCUCCAAGUCUCAGUCUCCCUACAUAGUCUGUCACCUGAUCUACACCCCGAGUUUGGAAUGACUUGUAGUCAGCCACUGGAAGAGCCCUCUGAGUGCCAGGCACCGAGCAUCACUGCCCAGAAUCUGUGAGGUAGCCCAGCAUGUUGAUGUGUAUGCCUUUGUCCAUUUCACAGGUGAGAAAAAUGGGACUCAGAGAGGUUAAAAGCCUGAGAGGAAUCAGCCAGCUUCUAAGAAACAGAAAAUCACAAGCUGGUCCCCAGAUGAUAUGGUUCCUGCCACCCUUUAUACUGAAUUAUAUGAAAACUGAAGAAAAAAAGACCCCUGGGAGACAUCUCAUCCCUGGGAGAUGGUCAGGAUGGGACCUGGCUUGACCAGGAGGUUGUCCAGGGUCAGAGAACGCCCUCAGUUCUGGAGACGUGGCUCAUCAGGGUCAGAGACCUGCUUUCUGUUUAUUGACCUAACAAAGCAGAAGAUAGCAGAGGGACUCCUCACAGAGGCUUCUUUGACCUGUGACCCGCCUGUUGCUCACUGUCCGAGGCUCCUGGCCCAGUGGAGCUGAGCGAGGCUGAGCGGCCUGCAGACUCCAGAGCCACUUUGGGAUUAUCUAC